AUAAAGACUAGAAUGAAUGGCCAAACGAGGUUCCACCUGUCUCUUACAAACAAUCAGUGAAAUUGGUCUCCCCGUGCAAAAGCGAGGAUAGCACUAUAAGACGAGAAGACCCUGUGGAACUUUAAAUAUAAAUCAACUAUUUAACUUACCACUCUAAAGACUUAUAAUUUACUAGUUCUGAUCCAUAUU
rnacentral:rRNA from 1 species